rnacentral:rRNA from 1 species
CUCAGUUCGGACUGUGGUCUGCAACUCGACCACACGAAGCUGGAAUCGCUAGUAAUCGCGAAUCAGCAUGUCGCGGUGAAUACGUUCCCGGGUCUUGUACACACCGCCCGUCACACCAUGGGAGUCAGCAACGCCCGAAGUCAGUGACCUAACCGAAAGGAAGGAGCUGCCGAAGGCGGGGCAGGUAACUGGGGUGAAGUCGUAACAAGGUACC